rnacentral:rRNA from 1 species
AAUACAUGCAAGUCGAGCGGACAGAAGGGAGCUUGCUCCCGGACGUUAGCGGCGGACGGGUGAGUAACACGUAGGUAACCUGCCCCUUAGACUGGGAUAACUCCGGGAAACCGGAGCUAAUACGGGAUAAUAAAGAGAAUCACCUGAUUCUCUUUUGAAAGACGGUUUCGGCUGUCACUAAGGGAUGGGCCUGCGGCGCAUUAGCUAGUUGGUAAGGUAACGGCUUACCAAGGCGACGAUGCGUAGCCGACCUGAGAGGGUGAUCGGCCACACUGGGACUGAGACACGGCCCAGACUCCUACGGGAGGCAGCAGUAGGGAAUCUUCCGCAAUGGACGAAAGUCUGACGGAGCAACGCCGCGUGAGUGAGGAAGGCCUUCGGGUCGUAAAGCUCUGUUGUGAGGGAAGAACAAGUACCGGGGUAACUACCGGUACCUUGACGGUACCUCACCAGAAAGCCACGGCUAACUACGUGCCAGCAGCCGCGGUAAUACGUAGGUGGCAAGCGUUGUCCGGAAUUAUUGGGCGUAAAGCGCGCGCAGGCGGCUUCUUAAGUCUGAUGUGAAAUCUCGGGGCUCAACCCCGAGCGGCCAUUGGAAACUGGGAAGCUUGAGUGCAGAAGAGGAGAGUGGAAUUCCACGUGUAGCGGUGAAAUGCGUAGAUAUGUGGAGGAACACCAGUGGCGAAGGCGACUCUCUGGNCUGUAACUGACGCUGAGGCGCGAAA